rnacentral:lncRNA from 1 species
AUGUGGACGUUCCUCAGCAGUGUCUAUGCCCCAGUUCCCUCGACUGGCAACCUCUUCUCAUGGUCCCAUUUGACUCCGACUCCCAACUUAGCAGGCAGAUCUGGGGACAUUUUUCUUUGCAAACAACCAUUUUCACCACAAAUGCCAAGGUAUCAGCUGGGAUCAAAUUCUGAAGUACUUGUGAAAGUACCUGUUUUCACACAUGGCUGCAAGCAAGGUAAAUAUUCACAAGGUUAUGCAAAGUAUUGGGUAAUACUGGAUCUGGUAUGUUUGGUCUCUAUUGGUUGUGCAUGAAUUUUACCCUAUUUAUUUUUUCUACAUCCACAGCUUUUUGAUUCCUCACCUUGAGCCAAUUCAUUUCAGGGGAGACUUUAUCUUUUCCCUUUCAUUUCCUGAGAAUAUCUGCCACAGAUGCUACUUUAGCACACAGAUUACAUUACAACAAUUAAAAGAUCCCGGGUAUUAUUUCUGUUUAUACUUGCCUAACUGGCAAAAGCAAAAGCAAAAGAACACACGGGUUUCAGCAGAAGCAAAGUCUAGUGAUUUUCAUAAAUCCUUGCACCAG